rnacentral:rRNA from 1 species
CUACGGGGGGCAGCAGUGGGGAAUAUUGCACAAUGGGCGCAAGCCUGAUGCAGCCAUGCCGCGUGUGUGAAGAAGGCCUUCGGGUUGUAAAGCACUUUCAGCGGGGAGGAAGGCGUUAAGGUUAAUAACCUUGGCGAUUGACGUUACCCGCAGAAGAAGCACCGGCUAACUCCGUGCCAGCAGCCGCGGUAAUACGGAGGGUGCAAGCGUUAAUCGGAAUUACUGGGCGUAAAGUGCACGCAGGCGGUCUGUCAAGUCGGAUGUGAAAUCCCCGGGCUCAACCUGGGAACUGCAUUCGAAACUGGCAGGAUAGAGUCUUGUAGAGGGGGGUAGAAUUCCAGGUGUAGCGGUGAAAUGCGUAGAGAUCUGGAGGAAUACCGGUGGCGAAGGCGGCCCCCUGGACAAAGACUGACGCUCAGGUGCGAAAGCGUGGGGAGCAAACAGGAUUAGAUACCCCGGUAGUC